rnacentral:pre_miRNA from 1 species
CACUGAUGGGCCUGAAUUUGUUGCUCGAACCUGUAUUUAGACUAGGUGAGCAAACUUUCAGGUGUGUUAGUGC